rnacentral:rRNA from 1 species
UGUUUUAGAAGAGAAGCAUUUAUUAGAUAAAAAACCAAUAUAUGUUUUUAAAGCAUAAAAAUUGGUGAUUUACAAUAACUAAGCAAAUCGCACAGUGCAAACUGGCGAUAAAUCAUUCAAGUUUCUGACCUAUCAGCUUUCGACGGUAAGGUAUUGGCUUACCGUGGCAGUGACGGUUAACGGGGGAUUAGGGUUCAAUUCCGGAGAGGGAGCCUGAGAAACGGCUACCACAUCUAAGGAAGGCAGCAGGCGCGCAAAUUACCCAAUUCUAACAGCAUAAGAGAGGUAGUGACAAGAAAUAACAGUACAAGGCAGUUAAAAUGCUUUGUAAUUGGAAUGAUAGAAAUUUAAAUACUUUUUAAAGUAUCAAUUGGAGGGCAAGUCUGGUGCCAGCAGCCGCGGUAAUUCCAGCUCCAAUAACGUAUAUUAAAAUUGUUGCAGUUAAAAAGCUCGUAGUUGAAUUUUUGCUAAAAAUAACCGGUCUGCUUUUAUUAAUAAAAGUGGUAUCUUGGUGUGUUUUUAGCAAUAAUGUCCUUUGAAAUGUUUUUUACUUUAUUGUAAAAAGCAAUUUUCAGGAUUUUUACUUUGAGAAAAUUAGAGUGUUUCAAGCAGGCUAACGUUUUGAAUA